rnacentral:rRNA from 1 species
UACGUAGGGGGCAAGCGUUGUCCGGAUUUAUUGGGCGUAAAGGGCGUGUAGGCGGUUGGUCAAGUCUGAUGUGAAAGCCCGGGGCUCAGCCCCGGAAGGGCAUCGGAAACUAGCCAGCUGGAGCGCGAUAGAGGAGGGUGGAAUUCCUGGUGUAGCGGUGAAAUGCGUAGAUAUCAGGAGGAACACCGGCGGCGAAGGCGGCCCUCUGGAUCGUUGCUGACGCUGAGACGCGAAAGCGUGGGGAGCAAACAGG